GACGUUACAUAUGAUGUAGGAGCCUGAGAAUUCCAGAAGAUUUGGGAAAUGUCCAUGGAAAUAGCUCAUCCAGUACUACCUCCACCUCACACCUUUGACUACCAAAAGCAAGUAGGGAGGACUGUCUAUGGCGAUAAUACCCCUCAUCAACAAGAAAAUGAUAGAAUUCUAAAAUUGGAAAGUAGGCUUCUCUAAAGUACCUUCAGAUCCCACUGGGUUAAAACUGUGAGAAGAAUGGGAGCAGUAAGGAUACACAGAUAUCUGAGAUCGAUGGUGAACUGAAGCAGAGCAGUAAAAGCCAAAGAAAGAGAACAAAUGCCGAGGCUGUGCACAAUAAAUAAAAUUCACUGGCUGCUUGGAAGACACAGCGGUUGAGUGUGUCCGAUGCUGAGUAAUCAGAGACCAACUGGUUCUUUUUGUGUCUAAGAAUCAAUUUUUGUGACUAAGAAUCAAGAAGAAAACGGCUGCCAUUUGUGUGGAUGAUAACCCCAGAGAGAAAUGAUUACUGGGAAUCUGCUACUUCUUUUAUUUUUUCAAACAA
rnacentral:lncRNA from 1 species